rnacentral:rRNA from 1 species
AUGUACAUCUUACCGGAAGGUGUGCAUAGCUCCUUUGACAAGGAGCUGGCUAGGUUCUUCUGGCAGGCAGGGGAUGGUCGGCCCAAGUACCAUAUGGUGAAGUGGGCUGACAUUUGCUUGCCGAAGGAUCGAGGUGGGUUGGGCAUCCCUGCAUCGCGCCGGAUGAACGUUGCGCUUAUGCUGCAUUGGGUUUGGCGGAUCUUGCGGGGAGAUGGGGGGUUGUGGCUGCAGCUGGUUGAGUCCAAGUACUUGCAGGGUCAGCCCCUCAUGGCUUGCUCUCACUCAGCUGGGUCCCAGUUUUGGAAAUCUAUUCAGGCCAUCAAGGAAGAGAUUAGGUUGGGUGUGCGUUUUUCGGUUGGCAAUGGCUCUGGGACCCAAUUUUGGUUGGACCCCUAG